rnacentral:lncRNA from 1 species
AUUUAUUAAUUUAGCAAGGCCACUAGUAUACAUUCUAUAGUUACCUUAUCUCACUAAGUUUCAAGACAAGAAUAUCUUAGGUUGUGAUGAACUGAAACUUUCUUGUUUAAAGCUCUUGUUAAGUUCACUUCAAAUAGCAUUGAAUUUUUUUGUGAACCUGCCUUCAUCAUGCUGGUUAAGGAAGUUAUGUUAUGGAUCUAAGCUUUGUAGGACUAUGUGUUACAAGAUACCUUUGAAAGAUCUGCUUCACUACAUGGAACCCCAGAGUUCAUUAAUGUUGGAGAUUUUUGAAAAUUAAUUUCUCAGUAAUGUGUCUUAAGUUACAAAACAUGAAGUGUCUUACUUGUGGAACAUUGGUAGACUAUGAUGAAGAAAACAAUUAUAAUCUUUUUUUGGUUUUAAUAAUAAUUCCAAAUCAUUUUAAAUUAAUAA